rnacentral:misc_RNA from 1 species
UUUCCGUAGGUGAACCUGCGGAAGGAUCAUUAUUGUAUAACCGAGGUGCGAGGGCUGUCGCUGACCCGAAAGGUCGUGCACGCCCGAGUGCCCUCACACACAUCCAUCUCACCCCUAUGUGCACCACCGCGUGGGUCCCCCUUUGGCUUGUUCGGAGGGGGGCUUACGUUUUCACACAAACUUUGUAUGCAGUGUAGAAUGUAUUUUCGUUUUUGCGAUCACGCAAUCAAUACAACUUUCAACAACGGAUCUCUUGGCUCUC